rnacentral:lncRNA from 1 species
AAACGCUGGCGGCCGCUCGUACCCUACCAGGCGCUCUGCCCCGCCGUGGGGUUUUGGGGGUGCUGUGGAGAAGGCAGGGCUCGGGACUCUUCCACCUCCUUGGCUGCUCUGGCCUUUGAGUUAUGCUCUAAGAUUAUCGAUUACUUUUCCGUUGUUGCUUAUUUCCCACAGCAGCAGAAUGAGAACGGUUAUUAGUUAAUAGCCAUCAGAGACAGACCAAGUGGAACACAGUCCUCGGAAAAACGCCACUCUGUAGCAUUAGUAAUUAAAACCUCACAAGACUUCUCAGUCCUUUAUGUGGAGCUGGGGGCAGGAAGAAUUGCUUCUGGAAGCUGAUGGAGUUGGACAUGUGGCUUUCUAGAAUCUGUGCCCAGCUUGUCAAGAAGUUGAAUCGGUGCAACCAGCGUUUGUGAAAGCAGCAUUUCCCAUUUCACAUAAAGUCAGCUUCUGGCCAACUGGACAAGUCUGAACAAAUAUGAAACCCACUAAAAGGCCAGUGACAGGUGCACACACUACUGACUCUGG